AAAGGAAUAGACGGGGGCCCGCACAAGCGGUGGAGCAUGUGGUUUAAUUCGAUGCAACGCGAAGAACCUUACCUACCCUUGACAUACAGUGAACCCUAAGGAGACUUGGGGGUGCCUGAAAAGGAAUACUGAUACAGGUGCUGCAUGGCUGUCGUCAGCUCGUGUCGUGAGAUGUUGGGUUAAGUCCCGUAACGAGCGCAACCCUUAUUCUUAGUUACCAGUGCGUAAUGGCGGGGACUCUAAGGAGACUGCCGGUGACAAACCGGAGGAAGGCGGGGACGACGUCAAGUCAUCAUGGCCCUUACGGGUAGGGCUACACACGUGCUACAAUGGCAGGUACAGAAGGCAGCGAAGUGGUGACAUGGAGCGAAUCUUAGAAAGCCUGUCGUAGUCCGGAUUGAAGUCUGCAACUCGACUUCAUGAAGUCGGAAUCGCUAGUAAUCGCAAAUCAGAAUGUUGCGGUGAAUACGUUCCCGGGCCUUGUACACACCGCCCGU
rnacentral:rRNA from 1 species